GUGGGGAAUAUUGGACAAUGGGGGGAACCCUGAUCCAGCCAUGCCGCGUGUGUGAAGAAGGCCUUUUGGUUGUAAAGCACUUUAAGCGAGGAGGAGGCUACCGAGAUUAAUACUCUUGGAUAGUGGACGUUACUCGCAGAAUAAGCACCGGCUAACUCUGUGCCAGCAGCCGCGGUAAUACAGAGGGUGCAAGCGUUAAUCGGAUUUACUGGGCGGAAAGCGCGCGUAGGUGGCCAAUUAAGUCAAAUGUGAAAUCCCCGAGCUUAACUUGGGAAUUGCAUUCGAUACUGGUUGGCUAGAGUAUGGGAGAGGAUGGUAGAAUUCCAGGUGUAGCGGUGAAAUGCGUAGAGAUCUGGAGGAAUACCGAUGGCGAAGGCAGCCAUCUGGCCUAAUACUGACACUGAGGUGCGAAAGCAUGGGGAGCAAACAGGAUUAGAAACCCCUGUAGUCC
rnacentral:rRNA from 1 species